CGUCGGUUUCACACUAGAGGGCAAAAAAAAGCUCUUCUUUUCUCGGUUUCGUCUCUCUCUCUUCGAUAUUGUCGAAGUCUUUCUCCUCCCUUGGUCUCUCUCGACGAAUUCGUUGAUUCUCUGUAAAUCUCCCACGGAGAUGAAGAUUGAUCGGUUUCUUCGUCGUCGGCUGAUCUAUCUGUUGGUCGUCGGUGCUGUGGAAUGGUCUAUCUCUUCGUCGUCGGUUCCGUGGAGAUCUCCAACGGAGAUGAUGUUUGGAGAUGAUCUUGAUUCGUCGAAGUUCUCCUCCAGUUCCGUGCAUGCAAUCAGUGUGAAGAUUCCUAUUUGAUCGAUUUGGUUGGAUUUGGCUCCAGCUUAACAUUUGCUUACAUCGAAAGAGAGGUGGAGCAUGCGUGGAGAAGUCAAGAACAUACAUGCUUCUCUGUCUGUUACAUAGCCAAGCCGUCUCUGAAAUUAGAUGUGGCCAACAUGUGAGCAUAGAGUUACUAUGUAACACAAGAAGACAAUAUGUCUGAUGUAAUUAGUUGGUGUAUUUUGUAUCUUGUGAACUAUUGGCUGAUGUAAUUACUUGGUGUAUUUUGUAUCUUGUGAACUAUCUAGUUUAAAAAAAAAAAAAUUAUUUAAGAACCCCUAUAAGGUUCUCCCA